UACCUUAUUGAUUCUGUUGGCGCUUAAUGUUCAGCUAAAAGACUGAGCUAUGCAUAUUGAGUUCAACUUUGGAAUCAAACUGCGAAGGAGUCAUAAUAGCUGAUGAAAAUUCUUAGGAAUUGUUUUGAUGGAUUACUGCGGUAAUUUUGGAGUUAAUACAUGCAACAAAAGUUUUGUUUUGUUCUUCGAAUUCGCAGAAUUGGAAUAACGCUGCAUAUUCCAAGUGACUACCCUGUUAACCUCAUGGUAGUCCAUUAGUCUAGUAUAGAUAUUACGGCUAACGGAAAAUAAGUGUUCGACGGAAAGGAAGCCUUAGAAACGCUACCACAUCGAAAGAAGACAGCAGUCGCAAAGCUUAUUCAAUCUUGAGGAGGUGAGAUAGUGACUAGAUAUAAGAGUGGAAGCACGUCUGCUGCCAGUAGCCUCGGGGAUUCCAACUCUACUAGUGUAAAUCGUUACUACUGCGGUUAGAAAGAUCGUAAUUGGAUCUGAGUUACAUGUAAUGGUUGGCGCUUGGCGUUAAUCGUGUGUGUAUGCUGAUUUUCUAUUAGAAUCUCGACUUUUCUAGUGACUAGUGAGUUUACCUUGAAUAAAUUAAAAUG
rnacentral:ncRNA from 1 species